GACGAACGCUGGCGGCGUGCUUAACACAUGCAAGUCGAGCGAUGAAGCUCCUUCGGGAGUGGAUUAGCGGCGGACGGGUGAGUAACACGUGGGUAACCUGCCUCAUAGAGGGGAAUAGCCUUUCGAAAGGAAGAUUAAUACCGCAUAAGAUUGUAGUACCGCAUGGUACAGCAAUUAAAGGAGUAAUCCGCUAUGAGAUGGACCCGCGUCGCAUUAGCUAGUUGGUGAGGUAACUGCUCACCAAGGCGACGAUGCGUAGCCGACCUGAGAGGGUGAUCGGCCACAUUGGGACUGAGACACGGCCCAGACUCCUACGGGAGGCAGCAGUGGGGAAUAUUGCACAAUGGGGGAAACCCUGAUGCAGCAACGCCGCGUGAGUGAUGACGGUCUUCGGAUUGUAAAGCUCUGUCUUUAGGGACGAUAAUGACGGUACCUAAGGAGGAAGCCACGGCUAACUACGUGCCAGCAGCCGCGGUAAUACGUAGGUGGCAAGCGUUGUCCGGAUUU
rnacentral:rRNA from 1 species